UACGUAGGGUGCGAGCGUUGUCCGGAAUUAUUGGGCGUAAAGGGCUCGUAGGCGGUUUGUCGCGUCGGGAGUGAAAUCCACUGGCUUAACUGGUGGCUUGCUUUCGAUACGGGCAGACUGGAGGUAUGCAGGGGAGAACGGAAUUCCUGGUGUAGCGGUGAAAUGCGCAGAUAUCGGGAGGAACACCUAUGGCGAAGGCAGCUCGCUGGGACGUUACUGACGCUGAGGUGCGAAAGCGUGGGGAGCAAACAGG
rnacentral:rRNA from 1 species